AAGCCCAGCUUGCUGGGUGGAUUAGUGGCGAACGGGUGAGUAACACGUGAGUAACCUGCCCUUGACUCUGGGAUAAGCCUGGGAAACUGGGUCUAAUACCGGAUAGGAACGUCCACCGCAUGGUGGUUGUUGGAAAGAUUUAUCGGUCAUGGAUGGACUCGCGGCCUAUCAGCUUGUUGGUGAGGUAAUGGCUCACCAAGGCGACGACGGGUAGCCGGCCUGAGAGGGUGACCGGCCACACUGGGACUGAGACACGGCCCAGACUCCUACGGGAGGCAGCAGUGGGGAAUAUUGCACAAUGGGCGAAAGCCUGAUGCAGCGACGCCGCGUGAGGGAUGACGGCCUUCGGGUUGUAAACCUCUUUCAGUAGGGAAGAAGCGAAAGUGACGGUACCUGCAGAAGAAGCACCGGCUAACUACGUGCCAGCAGCCGCGGUAAUACGUAGGGUGCGAGCGUUAUCCGGAAUUAUUGGGCGUAAAGAGCUCGUAGGCGGUUUGUCGCGUCUGUCGUGAAAGUCCGGGGCUUAACCCCGGAUCUGCGGUGGGUACGGGCAGACUAGAGUGCAGUAGGGGAGACUGGAAUUCCUGGUGUAGCGGUGGAAUGCGCAGAUAUCAGGAGGAACACCGAUGGCGAAGGCAGGUCUCUGGGCUGUAACUGACGCUGAGGAGCGAAAGCAUGGGGAGCGAACAGGAUUAGAUACCCUGGUAGUCCAUGCCGUAAAACGUUGGGCACUAGGUGUGGGGACCAUUCCACGGUUUCCGCGCCGCAGCUAACGCAUUAAGUGCCCCGCCUGGGGAGUACGGCCGCAAGGCUAAAACUCAAGGAAUUGACGGGGGCCCGCACAAGCGGCGGAGCAUGCGGAUUAAUUCGAUGCAACGCGAA
rnacentral:rRNA from 1 species